GGUUUCUGCCUAGCCCUAUUCUCUCAAAACCCAAUCCCUAAUGAUGCCUCUGCCUCUUUCUCUCACACUUGGUUUCUCAGUUCCCUCUCCAUCGAUCUUUCUCUCGCUCUCUCUCUCCGUCAUGCGAGCUGUUGGAGCACACCAUGCCAGAGGAGCACUUUCUCCAUUCCGUUUAGUCGCUGGAGCACACUGGGAUGAGUCAUACCAGUACAAGUCACGGUGCACUAUCUCCCUCACACAAGUCAUGGCAGUAUCUUCCCAGCUGAAGAAAGAACAACUUUGUGAGGGAUCAUGACGAGGCGACCUUUGGUCUUGUAGCUUGACAAGACAAACGAGGGAGCUCAGAAAUACGCCGAGUUUCUUCACCUUUGCAAGAGGAGAUUCAUAGAUUUUGGAAUUGAUGUUCAGUUUUUAAGUUACAUAAUUAUUUUGCCAAAACUUGAGAAGAGAGCUGGCAAUUAGGAGUUAGAAAAUCUGAGGUCAAAUUUAGGUAAA